rnacentral:rRNA from 1 species
GAUGAACGCUGGCGGCGUGCUUAACACAUGCAAGUCGAACGGACUUAAGAUGAAGCCCAGCGAUUCUUAAGUUAGUGGCGGACGGGUGAGUAACGCGUGGGUAACCUGCCUCACACUGGGGGAUAACAGUUAGAAAUAGCUGCUAAUACCGCAUAAGCGCACGGUGUCGCAUGACACAGUGUGAAAAACUCCGGUGGUGUGAGAUGGACCCGCGUCUGAUUAGCUAGUUGGUGGGGUAACGGCCCACCAAGGCGACGAUCAGUAGCCGGCCUGAGAGGGUGAACGGCCACAUUGGGACUGAGACACGGCCCAAACUCCUACGGGAGGCAGCAGUGGGGAAUAUUGCACAAUGGGGGAAACCCUGAUGCAGCGACGCCGCGUGAGUGAAGAAGUAUUUCGGUAUGUAAAGCUCUAUCAGCAGGGAAGAAAAUGACGGUACCUGACUAAGAAGCUCCGGCUAAAUACGUGCCAGCCGCCGCGGUAAAAC